UCUCCCUUGAGUACAUACCUGGAUCACACAGUGCUGGGUCAUGUUGUGCUUAGAACCAUAGAAACACAUAACCGUUGUAACCAUACCCUGUUUGACAAGCCUGCUCGCUAUUGUGAAUAUCCCUUGACUGAUCAUAUGGAAAGUACUGAAAUGCCCCCCCUUGGUAACCAGCAAUCAUGGAAACCGCUUGUAUACCCUCCUUAAUCAACAAUCAUGAGAGACUCCUACCCACUAGUUACCAGCCUUCUCCCCUAACUUGCUCGUUCUGCUUCUGUAAAAUUCCACUUUGCCCCCUUACCCUGCGCAACAUAUAAAAGGAAAUCACACUGCUUCCUCGGGGCCAAGAGAUUUUGAGCGUGAGCUGACUCUCUGUUGCUGGCAAUAAAGGACUCACCAUCAGAUCUCAGAGAGUGGUGCUUUCCUAACAACUCCUUGGAUACAACAGUUGGAGGCCCCCGUGAGAUUUCACCACCAGGCUUGAACCAGAUUCAUUCCGAGCUCCCCUGGACGAAUGGCAGACUACAGGGGAGGCACCCCCUGAGACGUUCCAGGGCCCCAUAGGCCACUGCCUUCCGCAGGAGAAUGGAUCGACUGCCAGAGUGCCCACCAAAUUCAAAUCCUGAGUCCUCAGCUUCAGCUCCAGGGAAAUCUCUUUUAGAGCACCCAACAAUACAUGGUUGGCCUGCACCACAGGUCUCACCCGCUGCAUCAGUGGAACUGAACUCAGACUGUGUACAGUGGACCAGGAGGACAACAUCUCAUCGCCCGAAGUACACUCCAGAGUUUGCUGAGGUGCCCCCACUACUUGUGACCUUACCUACUUGUGGGUCAGCUGCUAUCGGCACUGCAGCCCUAGUCUGAGGAGAGACUGGACUAGUAUCUUUGUCCCAACAAGUCAAUGCUGAUAUAGGAAAUCUCCAGUCCACCAUAAAUAUGUUGCAUACCCAGGUAGAAUCCCUAGCUGAAGUUGCUCUUCAAAACCGCCGAGGCUUAGAUUUGCUGUUUCUUUCCCAAGGAGGCUUUUAUGUGCUGCUUUAGGAGAAAGCUGUUGUUUUUAUGCUAAUCAGUCUGGAAUCAUUAAAGACACUUUUCAAAGGGUGCGAGAAAACUUAGACGCCAACAAGAGCGAGAAAAUAACACCCCAUGGUGUCAAAAUAUGUUCACCUAGAGUUCAUGGCUAACUACCCUAAUAAAUGGGCUAGCAGGACACCUUCUACUCCUCCUGUUAGGCUUAAUCUUUGGGCCCUGCAUCCUUAAUUGGUUCCUAAAUUUCAUAAGACAGUGCAUAGUGUCUGUCAAACUUUGGUAUCUCAGGACCCAAUAUAACCCUGGUUAUAAAUAAAGAGUCAAUGGUUUGACUCCCCCAAAACACAAAUUGGCAAUGAGGUGAACCAAACUACCUCCAUCUUAGAAGUGAGCCUGACUGACUCCAUCUUGGCUUUCCCCCACCCCCCGUCAUUCCUCCCUUGAGUGCAUACCUGGGUUACACAGUGCUGGGUCAUGUUGUGCUUAGAACCAUAAAAACAUAUAAGUGUUGUAACCAUACCCUGUUUGACAAGCCCACUUGCUAUUGUGAAUACCCCCUCGAUUGAUCAUAUGGAAAGUACUGAAAUGCCCCCCUUGGUAACCAGCAAUCAUGGAAACCGCUUGUAUACUCUCCUUAAUCAACAAUCAUGAGAGACUCCUGCUUCCUAGUUACCAGCCUCCUCCCCUAACUUGCUCAUUCUGCUUCUGUAAAAUUUCGUUUUGCCCCCCUUAUCCUGAGCAACAUAUGAAAGGAAAUCACAUCCCUUCCUCCGGGCCAAGAGAUUUUGAGCAUGAGCUGACUCUCGGUUGCCAGCAGUAAAGGACUCACAAUCAGAUCGCAGAGAGUGGCGCUUUCCUAACAACUCGCUCUGAUACAACGGUUUAAUAACUGCUUUAAAAUCUCUGUCUACUGACUCAAGCAUGUGGGGAUUUAGAACUGGUCUCUCCGUUAGUUGUCUUUUCUCUUGAAAAUUGGGUGUGUUUUCCUGUUUUUUUCUCAUAUGUUGACUCACUUUGUAUUGUAUCCUAGACAUUGUGAUUCUUUAAAAUCUUUAAAUUUUUAUUGCUACUAAAAAUGGCACACAAAAAAAUGAAAGUAGAUGAUUCAAAUGAAUUAAUAUUCAUAUUAAAUAUGAUUAACUGCUCCAUGAUGUAUAUGAUUCAUGUGUACUAUAUGAUCAACUGUCUCUAGCCAUGCAUAAAAUACAAUCCCAGCAUUUUCUAAUUUAUUAAGAGCUUAGAAUAUGACUGAUCCUUUAAUGUAAUUUUUUAACUAUGAUAUUUGGUAGAAACUGGAUUAUUUUAUGUUCCCUCAAAAAUCAUUAAUUUUCUUUGUUUUAGGAGUCACUUAUUUGGACUCAACUGCAAAAUCUGACUUAUGGGAAGCAACUCAAAAAGCAGUUUGGGUCUUUCAUUUUUAAUUGGACUACUUAGAAUUUAUUCUAUAUGCAUGAUUUAGUGGUCAGUGGAAGACUGGGUAGAGUUUAUACAUAAAAUCUAGGCUUCUACCUCUCUUUUACUUAUGGUAUUCCUCUUUACUUUCCAGAAGCUGAUUGUCUCAACUUCUGUCCUUUAGCUUUUUAGACCAGAAAAGCUGUGAUCUACCAGAAUUCCAGCCACUUCUCAUGGUGCAGACUGAAGCCUACUCUCAUGCAAGAAUCUGUAAAAACAAGUGAAACUCACUCAGGGGUGUUCCCUUCUUUCAAAGCUUAUCUCCCUUCCUGCUUUUGCUUACUUUUUAGUGCCACAGGUGGUAUGUAUUGUAUUUUGUGCAAAGGUCAAAAUACAAUAGAAGGUUUGUGUGCUUGGAGUUUAUGCAGCUCUUACAAGAAAAAACUACACUCAAACAUUUGGUAUGAAGUUUAAAUUUCUGUAAAAGAAUUGAAUGAGAAUUGAGGAUUGUAGUGUGAAGGAGCUGUAGAUUCUGUAUUAGAGAAUUUAGAAGAAUUUAGAUCAAUCCUACUUGUUUCUGACUUACAAUGUCAAUCUAUUUUCAAUUAACCACACACUUUUAGUGGUUUAUCCAGACUCUUCCCAAUCAACUCACUUUUUUCAUCACAUAUCAGCAUCUUUUCUAAGAAUCUGUCCAUUUCCUCCGGCUUAUUGAAUUUGUUAAUAUACAAUUGUUCAUCGUGUUAAAUACAAGAAGUUCCUUUUUAAAGGGUUUAGUUGGUUCCCUUGUUCUUUAUUUCCAGCUUUCAAGGCCGAACUUCCUUAUCCUUUGUGCCUCCCUGACCUGGUUUCAGUAAACAACUAUCCCCCCAGUCCUAAUCUGCAAAGCGACAUCUGCUACUCACUAUGUAAAUUACUUCUCCCACUUCAAAGGCUCUUCCCACCAAAACUUCCCUUCCCUUCUCAUUAGGCACACCCCUGUGCUCUUCAGGUUAGCCAAUUGGGUUCAGCUUAGAUUGUGUGGUCCAACUCCAGCCAACAGAGGCAGGAUACAGUAGCAGGGACAAACUGCAUUAAAAAUAAAAACCUCUUCCCUCUUU